rnacentral:rRNA from 1 species
AUACGAAGGGGGCUAGCGUUGUUCGGAAUCACUGGGCGUAAAGCGCGCGUAGGUGGAUCAAUUAGUUGAGGGUGAAAUCCCGGGGCUCAACCUCGGAACUGCCUUCAGUACUGUUGAUCUUGAGACCGAGAGAGGUGAGUGGAAUUCCUAGUGUAGAGGUGAAAUUCGUAGAUAUUAGGAAGAACACCAGUGGCGAAGGCGGCUCACUGGCUCGGUACUGACGCUGAGGUGCGAAAGCGUGGGGAGCAAACAGGAUUAGAUACCCCAGUAGUCC